CAUUGAAGCACUGGUUCCCGUAUGAUCACCAAAGUUAAGCAACACUGAGCCCGGUCAAUAUCUAGAUGACUGACCGAUUGGGAAUAUCAGGUGCUGUAAG